UCAGGCCCGGCAGCACGGACAUGCUGGCCCUGCUGCUGCUGCCCCUGCUGUGGGGGGGGUCCCUGCAGGUGGACACAGGGUUCAAGGUACAAGUGCCGAAUUCGGUGACCGGGCAGGAGGGCCUGUGUGUCCUCGUGCCCUGUUUCUUCUCCUUCUGGAGUCAGUGGUCUUCCUCUCCCCCACUCUACAUCCACUGGUUCCGGGAUGGGGACCACAUAUACUUUGAUGGUGCUGUGGCCACAAACGACCCAGACAGAACAGUGAAGACACAGACCAGGGACCGAUUCCUCCUCCGUGGAAAUAUCAGGAAUGGAAACUGCUCCCUGAGCAUCAAAAAUGCCAAGAUAGAGGACAGAGGGAGUUACUUCUUGCAAAUGGAGAAAGAGAAUGGUGCAAAAUAUAAUUCUGAAGAGAGGGUGAAUCUGCAGGUGACAGCCCUCACAGAGAAACCUGCCAUCCACUUUCUGGAGCCUCUGGAGUCUGGCCACCCCACACAGCUGAGCUGCAGCCUGCCAGGAUCCUGCCCAGGGGGACGGCCUCUCACGUUCUCCUGGACGGGGGGUGUCCUUCAGGCCCUGGACCCUGGGACCCUUCACUCCUCAGCCAUCACCCUCAUCCUGAGGCCCCAGGACCAUGGCACCAACCUCACCUGUCAGGUGAAACUCCAAAACUCUCAUGUGGCCACAGAGAAAACCGUCCAGCUCAAUGUCACCUAUGCUCCACAGAACCUCACCAUCAGCAUUCUCGGAAAUGGCACAGGUCGCAGAGUCAGUGACCCUGGAGCUGCCCCACAUAGGGGCUGGAGAUGGAGGGGCAUUCACCUGCCAGGCUCAGCACCCACUGGGCUCCCAGCACCUUUCCUUGAGCCUCUCCGUGCAGAGAAGCCCCUCUGGCUGCGGAUGUGUGACUGAGGAGCAGGAGGGCUCCUGGGCACUGCUCAUCACCCUGAUCAGGGGGGCCCUCAUGGGGGCUGGCUUCCUCCUCACCUAUGGCCUCACCUGGCUCUACUACACCAGGUGUGCGGGCCCCCAGGGAAGCAGCAUUAGGAGGCCUGACUGAGCCCCUCUUUCUCAAGACAAAACUGAGAUGUGACACCAAGCCCAGAAGCACAGAUGCAAGGACAUCACUGUCAGCUUCUUUCUGGAAACUCACAUGCCACUGACUGCCCCUGGUUUCCCGCCUGCCCACACCCCACCUGCUAUUCCCCAAUCCUGAUCACCCCCCUUCCUUGCCCUCCCACUCUUCUUCUUCUCUAUCCCCAGCCCUGGGCAAGGAGUGAACUCGGAGUCUUAUCCUCCUGUUACCCUACAGUUACCUUCUUAGCACUUGAGUUUUUCAUCUCCUUAGCUUCUGUCAACAUAGACGCAGAUGCCCAGUGGAGUCAUGGAUGAGGCUUUUCUUUUUUAUUUAAAGACUCUACCUUAUUAUAAUUAUUAUAAAAUCUGACAGCAACAUUUUAUUAUAGGUAAAAUUUUAUUACACAAUACAACAUAAAAACUGAUUUUACUAUUUGAUGCCUCCGUGGGAGUUUAUAGAGCAACCUUAUGUCUUAAUCUUUUAUUCUUUUUUGUUGAACAUGUUUUAUUUAAGGCUUUUUGUUUUUAUUAUGCAUAAAGAAAUAAUCCAGCCUUCAAUUGAA